GUGGAGACUGCGAGAGCGGCAGCCCGGAGGCGGCAGAGGAGCUGUGACCCCCGGAGGAAGAGUAUUUUCAGCACCUGUGGAGUAUUAAACAGAAAAAGGGACUUCAUCUGAAACAUUCUAUGGAAUUUUGUGAUGGAGACCACAGUAGACAUGACAACUCAAUUUACGCUGCCCGUAUUCUACGUGUGAUCCCUUGUCUACUAGAAUUAUAGCAAACCUUGAAAUCUUUUGACAUAUACUAAAAAGAACAACUGAAGAGCAAAGCAGAAGGAGAAACAGUUAACAGGAAUCAUACAAAUAUCGUAAGACUGGAUCGCACAAGACUAUCUUCAUGAACUAUGAAGAUGGGUUACGAAGAGUUACACAUCACAUUUGUAUGAGAGCCAUCAUGAAACACUAGGAUUUUAUAAAUUCUCAGCACAACAGGCUGAGAAUAUAUUUUUGAAAGGCUUUUUAUGCCUAAGUGCCAGGACUUUGAAAAUUUGCCUACAAGUGACUGAAACUGAAUCCUGUGUGAACAUGUGAAGUUGAAACUGUGCCUUUGAAAUACAUCUCAGAUUUAGAAUGGCACAUUAUUUCCUCUGUGGUCCUCCCUGCUUGGGAGGACAGCACUGAGAAUAUAAGAGGAAAUAAGGAUUUGAACAGAAUUAAGAAGAUAGAUUUGGAGCAACAGGACUUCUUGGUUGUGAAUAUCCCAGACCAGAACUUAAAAUGCUAAACUUCUGGGAUCCUUAUCUUCUCCCUGCUGUUCCUGUAUAUUGAUGAUGAACAUACAUAAAGCGGAAGGUGACACCAGUCUGAUGGAAGAGGACUUGCCUGCGCAUGGCAAGGGAAAUCUGCCUUCCCAGAAGGCCAGGACGUAACUGCACGGAUCUCCCUGCAUUAGCUGCACACCUGGAUCAUUUUGGCCAGCAUCUCAACUGAAACUUAGACCCAAGGAUCAAUUAUAUUGCCAUUGAAGGACCACGUGAACACCACAUCGACAGAGGAGUCAUGAGACACCUGGCAGGGAAGGACUAUGCUUUCUCCAACUGUAACAUCCAUAUUAGAAGGUGGAAUAGUAAUUACAGUCCUUUCUGUGGAGACAAAAAAUUUCCCUUUUAUUAAAAUGCUUACAAAAAUA